rnacentral:misc_RNA from 1 species
UGAAGUAAAAGUCGUAACAAGGUUUCCGUAGGUGAACCUGCGGAAGGAUCAUUAAAGAACGCCCCGUUUUUUGAAAUGGGUAAUUCUAAACCGUGUAUACAUACCUUUGUUGCUUUGGCAGGCCGCCCCUCAGGGCGUCGGCUCCGGCUGACUGCGCCUGCCAGAGGACCCAAACUCUUUUGUUUAGUGAUGUCUGAGUACUAUAUAAUAGUUAAAACUUUCAACAACGGAUCUCUUGGUUCUG